AGCAUGUGACAGCACAGCAGUAAGCCUAAGCUGGUUUGGAAAGUGUUUUUAUACAGCGUAGAGACCUAAUAUUCUACAAAUAACUUAUUUCAAUGACAGAUAUUUGGGGUGCAUGAGGCGACUGAACCUUUGUAUAGCUAACACAAGCUCUGUCAAGAAGAAGUGAAGACUACUUUUUGACAAGGGAAUUUUCACUGUGUAUGGUUAUGUAUUUGGCUCUGGUACGAGACUUUUUGUGACAGACAAUAACGUACGAAAACCCAAAGUGACGGUCUACUCAGAGUCCAACCCUGAGUCGAAUGUGAACACCCUGCUAUGUCUGGCUGGAGACAUGUUUCCAGACUUGGUCAAGAUCUCAUGGAAGAUGGAGGAUGAAAACGGCAGAGCAGUCGAGGUGCCUAAAGCAGAGGGGGAACAACUGGAGCAGAGGGAGGAAGGACAGACGACCAGUAUGAUCAUCACUGAUAAAGAGAAGAUUUACAGGAACAAAUACAUCUGUUCUGUGGAGCAUGAAGGGGGCCCUCAAGAUGUUUACAUGCUAAAAGAUCAACCAACUGAAGCUCCGCCAACCACCGUGGCUGCACCAACCUGUUCGUUCAGAAAUGACACACAGCAGUCACAGUCUCUACAUCUUACCGAUGAUUCCUUCCAGUCAACGUUUAGUCUGAACCUGGCCUCUAUCCUUUACACAGUGAUGAUAGUGAAGAGCAUGGUGUACUGCUGUGGGCUCUCUAUCCUGCUGCACCACAGGAGCUUGGGAAGAGGACCCAGCACCUGUAGACACAUUUAUUGAAAGGAUACCCCCCCCCCAUUUAUGGAUAGAGUUGUAGUGGGCUGGGAGUAACAUGGAUUUUACAUGCCAUUGAGGUUUUCUGAAAAAUAAGCAGAGCAAAUCUUGAAUGUAAAUACAUUAUGAUUUUAAUUUAGACUUGUUUUGUUAGUUGCCCUGCAAUAUGUCAUAGAGGUAGGCCUAAAUUAUACUCACAACCUGUAUUUAAUUUAUACAAAAUAUGUCAUUAUUAAAUAUGUAGGCCCAUGAGUUCUAAAUCAUUAUCCAAUAUAAUAUUUAGUAACUUGUCUUGAAGUGUAAUUUUUCUCAAGAAAUUACUUUGUUUCACAUCUCAAUAAAUGAAUAAGAGAAUCAAUUUUUGCUUUAAAUUCUAAAUGCUGAGUGCUUAUUGAGCAUAAAAAUUGGGCUAUGCGCAAAAUAAUUUAUUGGUGCUUUUGUACAUUAAUACAAUGUUUUUUUAUACAGCUUUUAUGAAGAGUAACACAGCCUGCUCAAAUGAACCAAGUUGCUCAAAAUAAUAAUAUCCUUUCAGAUGAGGAUGGAUUUAAUAAACGCAGCCUUUGUGAACGAAAAGUUACAACAAUGGUUCUGCAAAUGAUUGUAAAUAACUUUUUUACAGUUCCUUGCUAACCCCCCCCCCAAAAAAAACAUUGCAUUUCUUUACUAUAAGAUCAUCUAUUCAUAUUUGUGAAUGUUAUUUGAUUAAAUCUCAUCAGCAGCAGAACAAUAAAAUUGUAAGAUCCCCCAUUCUCUGUUUUCAACUUGUUUGCUUCAAUGUGCAUGUUCCAACACAGAUGUUGAGCCUAGACUCAAUAGUGGUGGGAAAAUGUGGUUAAUUUAUAUUUGGUUUUCUAAAGAAAUGUGAAACGGUACUUACUGGAAACAAGAUAUAGCUAGCUGCAUAACCACAGCUCGAGCGUGUGAUGAGUUGGUUAUCCAAAGCUGCUGGAUGAUUAGUUUUUAUCUUGAACCGUUUUCUGCUCUAUUUGUGGGUUCGGCUCCUGCCAUCAAAUUGAAGAAUAUGACAGCGAUGGCAGACAAAACGAGUCCAUAAUGGUAGCUUAUGGUUCUUUCAUUUGUAGAAUUAUAGCCCUAUGACAAAACAAGCUCUUACUUCUGUUUGUGUACUUUUUACCUUGAAACAAUCAAAUUAAAUGAAAUCAGAGUUGA
rnacentral:lncRNA from 1 species